rnacentral:tRNA from 1 species
GGAGAGGUGGCAGAGCGGUUGAAUGCGGCGGUCUCGAAAACCGUUGUUGGGGAUAUUCCUCAACCGAGGGUUCGAAUCCCUCCCUCUCCGCCU